rnacentral:rRNA from 1 species
UGGGGAAUUUUGGACAAUGGGCGAAAGCCUGAUCCAGCAAUGCCGCGUGUGUGAAGAAGGCCUUCGGGUUGUAAAGCACUUUUGUCCGGAAAGAAAUCCUUGGCUCUAAUACAGUCGGGGGAUGACGGUACCGGAAGAAUAAGCACCGGCUAACUACGUGCCAGCAGCCGCGGUAAUACGUAGGGUGCAAGCGUUAAUCGGAAUUACUGGGCGUAAAGCGUGCGCAGGCGGUUUGCUAAGACCGAUGUGAAAUCCCCGGGCUCAACCUGGGAACUGCAUUGGUGACUGGCAGGCUAGAGUAUGGCAGAGGGGGGUAGAAUUCCACGUGUAGCAGUGAAAUGCGUAGAGAUGUGGAGGAAUACCGAUGGCGAAGGCAGCCCCCUGGGCCAAUACUGACGCUCAUGCACGAAAGCGUGGGGAGCAAACAGGAUUAGAUACCCUGGUAGUCCACGCCCUAAAACGAUGUCAACUAGUUGUUGGGGAUUCAUUUCCUUAGUAACGUAGCUAACGCGUGAAGUUGACCGCCUGGGGAGUACGGUCGCAAGAUUAAAACUUAAAGGAAUUGACGGGGUCAUA